UACGUAGGGCGCAAGCGUUGUCCGGAAUCAUUGGGCGUAAAGAGCUCGUAGGUGGCGGGUCACGUCGGGUGUGAAAGCCCGGGGCUUAACUCCGGGUCUGCAUUCGAUACGGGUCUGCUGGGGUCCGGCAGGGGAGACUGGAAUUCCUGGUGUAGCGGUGAAAUGCGCAGAUAUCAGGAGGAACACCGGUGGCGAAGGCGGGUCUCUGGGCCGGUACCGACGCUGGAGGAGCGGAAAGCGUGGGGAGCGAACAGG
rnacentral:rRNA from 1 species